rnacentral:rRNA from 1 species
AGUGAACGCUGGCGGCGUGCUUAACACAUGCAAGUCGAACGAGAACGGAUUAUAGCUUGCUAUAAUUGUCAGCUAAGUGGCGCACGGGUGAGUAAUGUAUAGAUAACCUGCCCUCUAGAAAGGAAUAACAGUUGGAAACGACUGCUAAUGCCCUAUAUGCCUUUAAUACAUAAGUAUGCAAGGGAAACGCUUUAGUGCUAGAGGAUGGGUCUGUAUGGUAUCAGUUAGUUGGUGAGGUAAUGGCUCACCAAGACUAAGACGCCUAACUGGUUUGAGAGGAUGAUCAGUCACACUGGAACUGAGACACGGUCCAGACUCCUACGGGAGGCAGCAGUGGGGAAUAUUGCACAAUGGACGAAAGUCUGAUGCAGCAACGCCGCGUGGAGGAUGACACAUUUCGGUGCGUAAACUCCUUUUAUAUAGGAAGAUAAUGACGGUACUAUAUGAAUAAGCACCGGCUAACUCCGUGCCAGCAGCCGCAGUAAAAC